GACGAACGCUGGCGGCGUGCUUAACACAUGCAAGUCGAACGGUGAAGCGCCUUCCUUUUUGGUGGGUGUGGAUGAGUGGCGAACGGGUGAGUAACACGUGAGUAACCUGCCCCCUUCUUCUGGAUAACCGCAUGAAAGUGUGGCUAAUACGGGAUAUUCUGGGUCUGUCGCAUGAUGGGUCUGGGAAAGAUAUUGUUUCGGUGGGGGAUGGGCUCGCGGCCUAUCAGCUUGUUGGUGGGGUGAUGGCCUACCAAGGCGGUGACGGGUAGCCGGCCUGAGAGGGUGGACGGUCACACGGGGAAGGGGACACGGCCCCGACUCCUACGGGAGGCAGCAGGGGGGAAUAUUGGACAAUGGGCGCAAGGCUGAUGCAGCGACGCCGCGUGAGGGAUGGAGGCCUUCGGGUUGUGAACCUCUUUCGCCAGUGAAGCAGGCCUGCCUCGUUUGUGGGUGGGUUGACGGUAGCUGGAUAAGAAGCGCCGGCUAACUACGUG
rnacentral:rRNA from 1 species